CUUCUUUCUAUUCUCUUUCUUCUUCAUUCUUCUUCAUCUUUCUUCUUCCCCUGUUUCUUUUCUUGUUCUUUUUCCGCUGGUGAUUCUGUGAGAAGUUUGAGAGUCUGAGAUCGAAAAGGGUAUGCGAAUAUCAAACAAUAUCUAGUGGUGUUGGUGUUGAAUCGUCGAUGUGAUUCAGACUCAUUAGAAAAGGGAAACUCAGAGUAUACAAUUUAGGGUUUCUGUAAUUGAAUUGGAGAAUUCGAUUAAGGGUGAAUACAGAGGAGUUAGAAGAUGGGUUUGUUCUUAUUUGGUAUUUGCUGGAAGCUAUGAUGUUGUUUGAUAUGGAAUCAGUGAGUUAGGGUUUCAUGGAAUUAAAUUCAGUAGAGAUGAAAUUGAUGUUUAAGAGGCAUGAUUGAAGACUGAGUUUAGUCGAUUGAGGAACAGGGUGAAGUUAAUUAGAUGUUGGAGAUGUUCUGAGGAAGAAUUGAAGUAUUAAGGUUCAUGUGUUCUUCCCAAAUUUAAGAAUUAGGGUUCCUCUGUAAAUCAAAGAUGGUGAUGAAGAUUGUUGGGCGUUUUUAGUUUUGAGAGGAUUGUUCAGUUGAGGCAAGGAAGGAAGAAUUCGACCUCAGUUCCCGAGGAGCACUGGUUGAGGUAAUUUCUCUUACUAGUGAAAUCAGUUCAAUUCCAAUAUUGGAUUUAUAAGUUUUUCCUUGAACUGUGAAUGAAGUUUGUUGUGGUAUAAAUCUGUUUUUGAAGAUAUGAUUGAGGUUUAGGUUGUGUUGGUUAUUAAGAAGAUCAUGUAUGUUAGAUGAUACAAGGAUUGAGCUUUAAGAACUGAUCUUGAUGAUGGUAUGGUGUUUGUAAGGUAGUUAAACUGAGAUGUAUGUAUAUUUGAAGAAGCAGUUGAUUGAGAAGAUUAUAAUGUUUGAUGCAGGGAGAAAUGGGAAUCGUUGUGAUGCAGGUGUUGGUGUUUAAAUUGGAGAUUGUUGUAAGAUGAAUUGGUGGUGGUGGUUAUAUGCUCUAUGUAACUGGUAUUCAAGAAGUAAAAUAAAUAUGGAGUUUUAGAUGGAUGUAGUGGUGGAUGUGUAUGGUAGCGGUUGUAUGUGCUGGGAAGAACUGGGGGGUUGUUUUAUUGCAGUUGGUGAUGGUGACUAUAGAUGAAUGCUUAUGGCUUUGCAGAAUUUGGUUAGCUCAGAUGGUUGCAAUAAAUGAGCCUGGUGGUACUGUAGCUAAAGAAUUGGAAUUGCAGGUGGCGUGCAGUGGCAGAUGGGAUGGAGGUGGAGUUAAGAUUUUGGUAGAGUUGUGCUUGUAUAGGCUGAGUUGAGUUGUAUCUGUUUAGAUUGAUUUGAAGUUGGGAAUGAAGAUUAGAUGAAGGUGUUGAAUGAGUCUUUAAGGGAAAGCUUGAAACUGCUAUUGAAGUUAGUCUUAAUUAAAAACGAUCGAUUAAAAUGACGAAGCAGUGGAUCGUGGAUCUCGAGGUAGGCGUGGCUUGUCAUCAAAAGAGUUUCAGAGACCGAUCAAGAUGUGCAUGUGACGAUG